rnacentral:tRNA from 1 species
UUGGGGAUUGGUGUAACGGUAGCACGACUGACUCUGACUCAGUUAGUCAAGGUUCAAAUCCUUGAUCCCCAGU